CGUAGGUAACCUGCCCUUAAGACUGGGAUAACUCACGGAAACGUGGGCUAAUACCGGAUAGUCGAUUUCCUCGCAUGAGGGAAUCGGGAAAGGCGGAGCAAUCUGCCACUUAUGGAUGGACCUACGGCGCAUUAGCUAGUUGGUGGGGUAACGGCUCACCAAGGCGACGAUGCGUAGCCGACCUGAGAGGGUGAUCGGCCACACUGGGACUGAGACACGGCCCAGACUCCUACGGGAGGCAGCAGUAGGGAAUCUUCCGCAAUGGACGCAAGUCUGACGGAGCAACGCCGCGUGAGUGAUAAGGUUUUCGGAUCGUAAAGCUCUGUUGCCAGGGAAGAUGGCUAUGGAGAGUAACUGUUCCAUAGGUGACGGUACCUGAGAAGAAAGCCCCGGCUAACUACGUGCCAGCAGCCGAGGUAAUACGUAGGGGGCAAGCGUUGUCCAAAAUUAUUGGGCGUAAAGCGCGCGCAGGCGGUCAUGUAAGUCUGGUGUUUAAACCCGGGGCUCAACUUGCGGGUCGCAUCGGAAACUGUGUGACUUGAGUGCAGAAGAGGAGAGUGGAAUUCCACGUGUAGCGGUGAAAUGC
rnacentral:rRNA from 1 species